AAGACUAUACUUUCAGGGAUCAUUUCUAUAGUUCAUAACUAGAGAAGUUUCUCUGACUGUGUAAAGUACCAGAAACCAUGAGGAUGGGAUGCAGCAUUCUAUCCUAAGCAUGAAGCUGGCUUUUGGUGUUGCUUUUUUUUGCAGUUGCCAUUUGCCAUUGAUGAUCGUUCUUCUCUUCCUUUGGGAGAGUUAGAGGGAGGGAUUGCAGUCUAACUGAU
ensembl:snoRNA U3 Small nucleolar RNA U3